GGGUGCCGAUGCGUUGACGCUAGCCUAUGUAGCCUUCGGCUUGGCGCAUCGCAACGCUUCGGGCACCCGAGACCAGAUAACUUCGCUGCUAAGUAACUCGACUGGUCUAGUGCGCCAGCACCUCGAGCGAUGCCGCGGAGAUUAUGCGACAGCCCUCGCGAAUAUUCAAGAGGCUUUAAACGACCUGGACUCGAAGACAUAUGGCAGAUUGACCUACUUUUCUGCUUCGUUACUCGACCGAGCGAAGGACUGCGAGUCCGCCUU
rnacentral:lncRNA from 1 species